rnacentral:miRNA from 1 species
AAAGUUAGACAAGUUUGACAU